rnacentral:rRNA from 1 species
GCGUGAGGGAUGACGGCCUUCGGGUUGUAAACCUCUUUCAGUAGGGAAGAAGCGAAAGUGACGGUACCUGCAGAAGAAGCACCGGCUAACUACGUGCCAGCAGCCGCGGUAAUACGUAGGGUGCGAGCGUUAUCCGGAAUUAUUGGGCGUAAAGAGCUCGUAGGCGGUUUGUCGCGUCUGCCGUGAAAGUCCGGGGCUUAACUCCGGAUCUGCGGUGGGUACGGGCAGACUAGAGUGCAGUAGGGGAGACUGGAAUUCCUGGUGUAGCGGUGGAAUGCGCAGAUAUCAGGAGGAACACCGAUGGCGAAGGCAGGUCUCUGGGCUGUAACUGACGCUGAGGAGCGAAAGCAUGGGGAGCGAACAGGAUUAGAUACCCUGGUAGUCCAUGCCGUAAACGUUGGGCACUAGGUGUGGGGGCCAUUCCACGGUUUCCGCGCCGCAGCUAACGCAUUAAGUGCCCCGCCUGGGGAGUACGGCCGCAAGGCUAAAACUCAAAGGAAUUGACGGGGGCCCGCACAAGCGGCGGAGCAUGCGGAUUAAUUCGAUGCAACGCGAAGAACCUUACCAAGGCUUGACAUGUUCCCGAUCGCCGUAGAGAUACGGUUUCCCCUUUGGGGCGGGUUCACAGGUGGUGCAUGGUUGUCGUCAGCUCGUGUCGUGAGAUGUUGGGUUAAGUCCCGCAACGAGCGCAACCCCUGUUCUAUGUUGCCAGCACGUAAU